rnacentral:piRNA from 1 species
ACUCUGACCACGACCAAGUAGGC